AGUGACAUGUGGGCCCACGAACGACCAAAAGUAUCAAAAGCGAUAAACCUAUAGUUUUUGAGGAUGCAAGUCCAGUUGUAGCCCUUAACGAAAUGAGCUAUUUAUCGACUAUCUUGAGCCUGAAAUGGGUGAAAAGGAGGGUGAUGAGAUUAUAUAAUCUCAGUGAGUAAACAAAUACCAUCUAAAAUAUCUAAAGCUGAGUAAAUGGAGACAGAUAAAAUAGAUUAACAUAAAAAUGAUUCAUAGCAUUUCGAACUCAUUUUAAUAAGAUAAAAUAAAUUCAUUUCACAAAAAUAAAUAACGAGGCUUAUGAUUUCCUGAAAAGUUUAGCUCAUGCCAAAAUCAUUCUCAUACUCAGUUAUCAGGGAUACCUUGGCCUGGGGCUAUCCCAACCGAGUGCAUCAAGGCUGUUAAAAAAAAAGUCAUGUACGUAUAAAUCAUGUUUUUAUUUUGAAAACAUAGCCGUUCCUUGGCGUUGGCUGAGUUCACCCUCACGUGCUGAUUUGGCAUGAAGUGAACUCUAAAGUUGUACCUCGGGAGUUACCCUACUCGCCUCCCCAAUCGAGGUAAGAAUAUAAUAGGAUUCCAUGCCCCUCAAAAAGGCUAGUCCAUAGAACCCACCCACUGCAGCAAGCUAAACCCACCAUAUAAUAAAAUUUACAAUAGCAUGACAUGGCAAUUAAUUUAUUUUACAAUAUCUCAAGGCAAAUCAACAGUUUAUACAUUUUCAGCACAUUUACCAAUUCAACCAUUAAUGCCAAUAUUAUCAUAAGCCAUUCAGUUCAAACCAUGAUUUAUAACACAACAAUUAGUCUCUAAUUACUCCAUUUUCAAAACCAUCUUUCAAUUUCAAAACAAUUUUAUAAAACCAUUUCAUUUAAUCACAUUUUGCUUAUAAAACAUAAAAAUUUACUAUUUAAACUAAUUUUUUCAUCAAAUCACAAAAACGAUUAAAAACUACUUUAGAUAAUUAAGACGAUAAUAAGGUUACUCACUAUUUUGGGAGUCGAAUUUUGAGGUCUUCGAUUCUUGAUCCUCGGGUACUAUCUCUUUACUUUUGCUAGAAAGCUCACCACCUAUACAUAAUGCACAAUAAGCCAUUUACUACAUUUGUGCUAAAUCGUUGUAAAACCAAUUCAAGCUUUAUACUAAUGCAUGAAAUGGGAUGUGAAAUACUUGGGUAACUAUCUAAAUACGAUGUUCAAUAUAAAUUCAAUUAUGUACCUAAAUAAAAUGGUAUUGGCCUAAUUCGAUCUAUCACUCGAUUAAUUGGCCAAUAUGUCCAAUUUAACUCCAAUUAACUCCAUUUUUCUUCCAAUUCUCCAAACCAUCAAACACAAGUUAAAUAACUUGAAAUAUGGCAAAAUCAUCUUCACAUUUUCUCUUGGGAAUUUUGGCCAUGGUGGGUGCAUCAAUACUAUGAUUUUUCCUACUUGAUUUUCUCACCGUAAUUCAUCAUUUCCUAACCAAUUCACUUGAAAUAAAAUCAAAUCCACCAUCCACACUCUACAUGGAAGAUUCGGCCAAUCAUGGGUUAUGGAAGAACAUGAAUUUUUCUUGCUUGAUUUUCAUGCUACACAUCACCAAUCAUCUAAAAACACUAGAAUAUCUUAAAAUCUAACCAAAACAACCAUCAAAAUUUCUCUCUAAGUGUUCGGCCAGCAAGAGAUUCAUCAUGAAAUCAUGUGAUUCAACCAUGGAAAAUGCAAAAGAAUGUAUGGGAAAGGUAGAUCACAAGUCAAAAUCAAGAAAUUUUACCUUUGAUUGCUUGAUUACUUGAAAUCCACCAAUUUUCUCUUGAAUUUUCACUCUAGGUUUUUUGUGCUUUCUUUUCUUCCUUUGUUCUUGCUUUGGCCGGCC
rnacentral:lncRNA from 1 species